GCAUCGGUGUAUUACAGUGGUAAAAUGCUCACCUGCCACGCGGGCGGCUUGGGUUCGAUUCCCGGCCGAUGCA